rnacentral:piRNA from 1 species
UAAAAAACAAAAAACAAAAAACAAAACCGUUU